rnacentral:rRNA from 1 species
ACCAUUCAAGAAAGCCACGGCUAACUACGUGCCAGCAGCCGCGGUAAUACGUAGGUGGCGAGCGUUAUCCGGAUUUAUUGGGCGUAAAGGGUGCGUAGGCGGUUUAUUAAGUAUAAAAUGAAAGUCUGAAGCUUAACUUCAGUUUGUUUUAUAAACUGAUAGACUUGAGUAUAGUAGAGGCAAACGGAAUUUCUGGUGUAGCGGUAGAAUGCGUAGAUAUCAGAAGGAACAUCAGUGGCGAAGGCGGUUUGCUAGGCUAUUACUGACGCUGAGGCACGAAAGCGUGGGGAGCAAAUAGGAUUAGAUACCCUAGUAGUCCACGCUGUAAACGAUGAGUACUAAGUGUCGGGUUACCGGUGCUGAAGUUAACACAUUAAGUACUCCGCCUGGGUAGUACGGUCGCAAGGCUGAAACCCAAAGGAAUUGACGGGCACCCGCACAAGCGGUGGAGCAUGCUGUUUAAUUCGAAAAUACGCGAAGAACCUUACCUAGACUUGACAUCCCCGGCAAAGCUAUAGAAAUAUAGUGGAGGUUAUCCGGGUGACAGGUGGUGCAUGGUUGUCGUCAGCUCGUGUCGUGAGAUGUUUGGUUAAGUCCAAUAACGAGCGCAACCCCCGUCGUUAGUUGCUAACAUUAAGUUGAGAACUCUAACGAUACAGCCGGAGCAAUCCGGAGGAAGAUGGGGAUGACGUCAAAUCAUCAUGCCCCUUACGUCUAGGGCUACAGGCGUGCUACAAUGAUCGGUACAACGAGUCGCAACAUGGUGACAUGAAGCAAAUCUCUUAAAGCCGGUCCCAGUUCGGAUUGUAGUCUGCAACUCGACUACAUGAAGUUGGAAUCGCUAGUAAUCCCGAAUCAGAAUGUCGGGGUGAAUACGUUCCCGGGUGUUGUACACACCGCCCGUCACGCCAUGG